CAUCAGUGAAAUAAAUAACUUGAUCCACAUUCAAUUACAUUAUUUUCUAGUUGAGAUUGGCAGAUAGACACUGGUUGAAACAAAUCGAAAGUGUGUUGCAUAGCGACGUGUUCUAAAGAUAUACGUGUGUCAUAGGUAUUUAACAUGAAAGUGACUGCAUAACGGACGGUCGAGCGUAAAAAGAAAUUCACGUUUUCGCAUAUCGGUAUCGUUUCCGAUGAGAUGAAUCGUUAAAUACUGGUUUAUUUCGUCGCAAAGAAACCACACAAAAUACUUUCGUAUUUCUGCAAUAUUUCGAAAGUGUUGUCCGACUAAAGAGAGCUAAAUACAUCGACCGGAAUAAGCGAUAAUCUGUCGGUGUCAAAUCUGGAGAAUACGCCGCGUGCUGUGGAACUUCUCAGCCCAAGUUAAAGAUAGUGAUUCAAACCACAUGCGGCUUAGGCGUUGUGGUCGUUGAUCAUCGUGCUCACUGUGGUUUUGUGAAGCAGUCGCCAAUCGAUCACAAAGUUGGCGUUUCAGACAGAUCGAUACCAACCAAACAAUUGCGCAAAAAGAAAUUUUCAUGGAGCUCGCGAUACUAGUUCACGCGCCAAAGACCAAAUCAAGUUCAAGAUCAUCCUCGACAGCUUUAAUCACGUUCAUUCCCAUGUGUGAAGUAAGUAGGGGGAUGCUCACGGAAUCAGCUCUAACGUCGCCGGAAGUGGCUUGCAAGAGCGAAGAGGAGGGCGGUAAGGCAUAAGGAAGUGGUUGUAGCUGAUAGCAGGGAACGCUAUGCCAAUAUGCGGCCCAUCCGAGGGGUUAAAGGUUACCAGCCGGAUAUCUGAGUGACUUGCAAGGUUGCAGCCUUCGCGAUCGCUGCUAAUCUCGUUACCCUUCAGACGGUUCACGUCCUCACCUCCGCCCUCGUUUUCCACUCACUCAUCAGGUAGCUAGCUCGUGAAGCUGCUGCCUCGAUAAUUUUCCUUCGGCUCGAUUGGCUGCUCAAUUGAUGAUAAACUUACGCGAUCUUAAAUUUCGUGUUCGCCUUUGCUUUCUAAUAGCUUCGUCAGGAUGACUUGAUAAGAACUUUGAAACGACUCCGUGACUGUGAUUGCCUCGAUAUUUUCUUCUUUCUGUGGCUUUACGAUUUCUAAACGAGUGUAAUUCCCUUUAUAGAAAAAUUUGGCAAGCUUCAUUUACUGUGACGAUCAUAAAGCGCUUAUGGUGUAACUAUCUUACAAGGACUACUGGAUUCAAAGGAGAAAAAUUUCACUGGACUAAAUUAAUAAAAACACGAAAUCCCAUCGUUCAUAAAAACUUGCUUUGUAAACACCGCUUGUGUCGGGUGAACACAUUGCACAGAUUUUCCAUUGCGAUGCAUUAUACUUUUAGAUCAAACGAUUAUCAACUACUUGUCCGGGAAAACUUUUCCGAUUCAACACUUUUUUUUACCAAGUAUGGUAAAGUACAAAGCAAAAAUAUCUGACAAUCGUCUCGUUUUUUAUAGGAAUUUUAUUAAUAAACGUCAAUGAAAAGCUUCGACGACACAAAAUACCUUUCUAAUCAACCUUCGUGAAGGUUUCACAGAACACUGCAGUCCGAACACCAAAAAAAAAACGAGCAAAAGAAACUGCAAUCGAGGGAACGUAUCGUGGCAGCCUUCAAUCACGGAUCCAUCAGCUAUUCAUGGUGAACUGCUCUCGGUCGAUCAUCGCUUAAAAACAAACCAAUCUUACGGUUUAUCUUGAAACCGAGCAAAAUAGGUCAAAUGAGAACUAUAAAAUGGUAUGGCAUAAAGACGAAAUAGAGGGAGAAAAGGAAGAAUUUCUUGUGACCUUUUUUUUCUGAUCUCAACAUCCUACACUAUGUCAUUCUAAAAUACUUGUAGUCUAAUUAAUCUGUCAAAUACAGUUGAUCGUAUGGGACCACGAGAUCGCAGUAAUGUCAAAGAGCUCGUCAAACCUCCCUGGCAACGUCCAAUCAAUGGCGUCGAGGCUUGCAAAACCAUAGAGGAAAAUGUACAAAGAAAACAUGUCACGAAAUGUCCCUUCCUAUAUACGCCUUUAUCGUGCAACUUUUUUUACCAUGUUCGUGCCUUUCUUUGUUAAAUAAGCAGAAGAUACGAAUAACGAAAAUCGAAAAGAAUGAGCGUAAUUGACGGAAUUGUAUUCGUCAUUUGGUCUUCGCAGAAAGUAGAAUUUUUUGUACGGUUUGCUUAUAUUUGGUAUCCACAGUGGAUAUACAGAAAGUAUUUGUACAUUUUCUGUUUAUUUUAUGAAGCGUUCUUUUAUCAGAUUUCACAUUUUAUUUUUAUAGCGGUAAACUUUCGUAGUUAUAUGAAAGUACUAGCAAAUGAUAUCAUAUCGUUUAUGUAGUAUUAAUAGCUACAGCAAUUAGGAAAUAAGAUUUGUUAAUUUAAGAAAACCUUAAAAUUUCUAAUUCGAAGUUUCUAGUUUGCCAUUUCAUAUUAAUUCCUUCCUAUUAAAAUGCUUCAAAUAAACAAUGCUUUGCAAACUUUCUGACCAAAUUGGUUGGUGUACGAAUACUUUGCAUAGCCAAAGCAUACUAUUAUGCGUCUACAUUUAAUUCUAUGCGACAAACUUAAUUUACGCACCAACCGUGCCUCGUGCAGCUUAACUUUAAAUAACCCGAUGAGAACUGGUGUAUUAUACAUGGUGAAGUUAUCGGUACAGUCAACUACAGUGUAAAUUUGCAGGAAGUAAAAAAUAAAUAUAACUAUUUCGAAUCUAGAACGAUACCAUAAUUAUAAGCAAUUCUUAUAAAAUUAUUCUUAUAAUUCGUUAAUUAUUAAAAUUAUUUUAAAAUUUAUUAAAUUAUUCUUUUAAUUUUAUUCUUAAAAUUAUUCUUAUAAUUCGUUAUAAAAAUUUGUGCCAUUCAAAUAAUUCAUAUUUUGAUGUUGAACUUCAAGAUUGAUGAAUUCUAUUGAAACGCAGAUAAAAAGUAUAUAGAUUAAGAUAUCAUUUGAAAAUAUUUCAUUAAAGUAAUUCAAACAAAAAAUGAUUUGAAGGUUUUUCACUGAAAUGUUGGAAAACAAAGAUUGGAAUCAUUUGACGUAAAUUUUACGGAAGUACACUUUUAUGUUUCAAAACUAUGUUUUAUGAUUUCAUUAAUGGCUUUAUAUUUCCUGAAGAAUUUUCCAUUAACUAAGUGGUUAUUACUAUAACUGCCUUUUGACCAUUAUCUCGUCCCCUUUUCAGCAAAAUUGCAAUUUUGAGAGUAGCAUUUUAUUUAUUGGCUAUUUCUGUUUUUACUGAAGAUAUUUCCGUAUUUUUUACGAUAAAGUCAACCUUUUUCCUAAUUAAGUUUUAAAUUUUACGCGAGUUAUUUAUUAAAGUUAAUAAAAUAAAUAAAAUAAAAUACAUGGAGUUAUAUUAUAAUUUUUUACAAUUUUAAAAUUUUUCAAGCGAUUAGUCAACAACUUUCGUUCAUUAUAUAUAUAUUUGCAUUAUAUAUAUACAUAUCAAUUUGUUUCCAAAUAUUACAUAUAAGGUGUAAUCUGAGACAAAUAUUGCUUUUGUUCAUUUGCAACGCAGACAUGAAUGUUCCACAUCGAUAAAUAAAAGUACCGUGUAAUUUAAUUUAGCUUAAUGUAUUCUAUAACUCGGAGAUUUAUAGCGGUAAUAUCUCCUUAAUCAAUGCCGGUAAAGUCUAACACAGAUAUUGCGUUAAAAUCGAUGCCCUAAUCUUCGCUGAGAUUCACAACGAAUCAUGUAGAAUCCGGUUUCCCGGAAGGCUAAAUCCCAUUAGUCCCGUAGUCUAAUUUCCAUGUGGUUCCCGACGUUAAUUCCAAUUUGCAUAGCCGUUUACGCAAAAGACGCAUGACAUAAAGUGUAUUAAAAUCGAUCGGAGAAAAAAUAUUAUCUAAAUUGGUACUAAGCUUCAUGUAGAAUAUUAAACGAUACAUUACACAAAUAUUCUUCUGUACGUAAUUAUUUCACAUUAAUAAAUGUGAUUAGCAAAAAAUGGAAACAAAGUCCUUACGUAUUUUUCCACGCUGAACUCCAAUUUGUAAUCUGAUCUUCUUCGUUACUCAUAGCUUUCUCGAUUUUAUGUGAUUCCACUGUUUCCUUAAUAAUUCCGACACAUUUGCACGCAUCUCCAUUAUUUAAUAUCGAAAAUAAAUAUUAGGUUGUCCGAAAAGUAUCUUUCGUUUUAUAAGGAAAUAAUAGACGGAA